rnacentral:rRNA from 1 species
AUUGAACGCUCGCGGCAGGCCUAACACAUGCAAGUCGAGCGAGCGGCGGACGGGUGAGUAAUGUAUGGGGACUGCCCGAUAGCGGGGGAUAACUACUCGAAACGGUGGCUAAUACCGCAUACUAUCGGAUAACCCAUAUGGGAUUAGCUAGUAGGUGGGGUAAAGGCUCACCAAGGCGACGAUCUCUAGCUGGUCUGAGAGGAAGAUCAGCAACACUGGGAAUAAGACACGGCCCAGACUCCGACGGAGGCAGCAGUGGGGAAUAUGGGAAAAUGGGGGCAAGCCUGAUGCAGCCAUGCCGCGUGUAUGAAGAAGGCCUUAGGGUUGUAAAGUACUUUCAGCGGGGAGGCGUUACCCGCAGAAGAAGCACCGGCUAACUCCGUGCCAGCAGCCGCGGUAAUUC